GAGCGACGUAGAGCCACCUUUACGCCACCAAGCCUAAUUACACCGAGGGGACGGCAGGUACCUCGGAGCGGACCGUUAGCGGUUGCGAAAUUAACGCCCUCGCAACCAUUCAGAUCCUCAGCACGGUACCUAACACCUUAGCCUUUAGACGAGCGCCAUUCGAGGGAAACGCCUACCCGAUUGGAGCAAACUGCCCAACGAAGUUUACCU